GAUGAAGAACGCAGCGAAAUGCGAUAAGUAGUGUGAAUUGCAGAAUUCAGUGAAUCAUCGAAUCUUUGAACGCACAUUGCGCCCCUUGGUAUUCCAUGGGGCAUGCCUGUUCGAGCGUCAUUUGUACCUUCAAGCUCUGCUUGGUGUUGGGUGUUUGUCUCGCCUCUGCGCGUAGACUCGCCUCAAAACAAUUGGCAGCCGGCGUAUUGAUUUCGGAGCGCAGUACAUCUCGCGCUUUGCACUCAUAACGACGACGUCCAAAAGUACAUUUUUACACUCUAGACCUCGGAUCAGGUAGGGAUACCCGCUGAACUUAAGCAUAUCAAUAAGCGGAGGA
rnacentral:misc_RNA from 1 species